rnacentral:lncRNA from 1 species
UGAGCCAAAAUUUUAUUUAUUCAUUUCUUGCAUUUGAAGUACUCCUCGAUGACAUCCUUGGCCUGAGAUUCUUUGCCAUAGUCCUUAACUACAACGCAACUGCAACCAACCACUUUCCGUGGCUUCCCCUCUCGAUCGAUUUUACAGAGGCCUACCCAUUCCCCUAGUUUCUUGUUGUCAUCAACCUUUAUCAGGUUGAUCUGGUGCUCGGCACAGAGCGCCUCCACCAGCUUGACAUACAUGGGCUCAUCACAGUUGGAUGCAAGCACGCAGAGAUGGGCUUGGCACUUGUCUAAGGCUUUGGCAGCUUCGCGUAUGCCACGUGCUAGGCCAUCGUGGAUGAGGGCGGUCUUCAGCACCUCUUGUAGAGCAGUGUUGACGUCCAUUACACCUCCAGCAGCUAUGCCUUCCUCGGCCAUGGCGGUGGAUUACGGGUGACGCCGAAUCUUGAACGCACCCGAGCUUCCGCCUCCGCGGAACUUGGCGGCGGCAGGGGAAAA